ACAAUGAAGAGUUUGAUCCUGGCUCAGGAUGAACGCUAGCUACAGGCUUAACACAUGCAAGUCGAGGGGCAGCAUGGAGAUUGCUUGCAAUCUUUGAUGGCGACCGGCGCACGGGUGCGUAACGCGUAUCGAACCUGCCCUGUACACGGGGAUAGCCUUGCGAAAGCAAGAUUAAUACCCGAUGUUUUGGCGAUGCCGCAUGACAUUACCAACAAAGAUUUAUCGGUACAGGAUGGCGAUGCGUCCCAUUAGCUGGUUGGCGGGGUAACGGCCCACCAAGGCUUCGAUGGGUAGGGGUUCUGAGAGGACGGUCCCCCACACUGGAACUGAGACACGGUCCAGUCUCCUACGGGAGGCAGCAGUGAGGAAUAUUGGUCAAUGGUCGAUAGACUGAACCAGCCAAGUAGCGUGCAGGAAUACAGCCUUAUAGGUUUUAAACUGCUUUUAUGCGAGAGUAAAGUCGGGUACGUGUACCCGUUUGCAAGUAUCGCAAGAAAAAGGACCGGCUAAUUCCGUGCCAGCAGCCGCGGUA
rnacentral:rRNA from 1 species